AAUUGCUUUCUUGGAUGACAUCUCCUCUCCAGCCUGAUGAACAAAUAGCUUCUUUCCUCAGAGCACACUCUAGACCAAGAAACUUGCUGUUAGCCCUGGGAAGGGGCUUAACCUGUAGGAAAGGAGAAUUAGAUUGUCCAUUAAGAAACAUUUCACCUCUAAGGUGACUGAAUCUUUGCGGGUGAAACCAUAUUUUGUGAGGUAAAGUUCUAACAGCUUUGCAGGCUCCGAGUUUUUCUCAGCUGUACAGAGGGCAUGAGGCUCCUCCUAAAGGUGAUAUCGCUGCUCUGCACGGCUAUGUAGAAGAAGAUGGGAAAUUUUUUUGGUACUGACUAAAAUCCUCUGAAAUUUGCUGGAAAUGGUUCUGUGGCCAGCAAAGAUCCCGAUGCUGAAAGCUCUGUUUGAACUAAAAUCUAACCUUUCACUGCAGUGAAUUAUCUGGACCAGAAAAAACUUGUUCUUUAUUCUGAGAUUUAAU